CCUACGGGAGGCUGCAGUGGGGAAUAUUGCACAAUGGGGGAAACCCUGAUGCAGCGACGCCGCGUGAGUGAAGAAGUAUUUCGGUACGUAAAGCUCUAUCAGCAGGGAAGAAAAUGACGGUACCUGACUAAGAAGCCCCGGCUAACUACGUGCCAGCAGCCGCGGUAAUACGUAGGGGGCAAGCGUUAUCCGGAUUUACUGGGUGUAAAGGGAGCGUAGACGGCAGCGCAAGUCUGGAGUGAAAUCCCAUGGCUUAACCAUGGAACUGCUUUGGAAACUGUGCAGCUAGAGUGCAGGAGAGGUAAGCGGAAUGCCUGGUGUAGCGGUGAAAUGCGUAGAUAUUAGGAGGAACACCAGUGGCGAAGGCGGCUUACUGGACUGUAACUGACGUUGAGGCUCGAAAGCGUGGGGAGCAAACAGGAUUAGAUACCCUAGUAGUC
rnacentral:rRNA from 1 species